GAUCUGGGCGGCUUUGCUUGAGCUGCUGCCCCCGCGACCUGACUCCGGAUAAAGCGGAAGAAAAUGGAUGGAUGGAUGGAAGUUGGAGCAGUGGAUGAAAGAGGAUCAAGGCCAUGUUCUCUUCUCUAUGGGACCAUAUCAACAGACAACCUGGAAGGCAGUCUACAAUAGUAUGUUCAUUUAUGCAGUUAUGUCCAUUUAUACUUAAAAAAAAUUCUAAUAUUCUUUUUUGAAAUUAAUUUUCUUUCUAAAACACACUUCUCACAUUGGUGGCAUACACUUCCAUUUAUGUAUUUAGUUCCAGACAGUCACAACCUACCAAAGGCUCUGGACACAGCUCAUCAUCGGAGGAGGAGGACUCCACUGCUGACCUGCAUAACCGCACCAUCAGGGGGCAGUCAAAGCCUGGGUGAGAGCCAGAGCCAAGGCAAGACAAAGGUGUGCAGGAUGGUCCUGGUAAGGCAAAGCCUCACUCCAGAAAGAAGAAACGGCAUGAUUGUCCAGGUGCCGGUGAUGCCCGCUCAUCUUCUUCAGCAUCAUUGGCUGCUGCAUUGACCGAGACAAAUCAUCAUGGCAGCACUGGCGGUGAUCUGGGUAAAUGAUUGGGUAGCAGGUAAAGAGCCUCAGCACCAGCUAUGGAGGCAGCAGCAGGUUCCUCCUCCUCCUCCUCCUCCUCAACCAUCAUAACCCCAUCCUUCACAGCCCCAACCAGCAGGACCCAGUCAGUGGGUCAGGACCACCCGACUCUACUGGCAGGGCUACCAACAUGAUGGCGGUUACAACUACAGCCAAGGCAGCCACUACACCCCGCAGCACCUAUCAGAAGGCCAACCCCACCAGGGAACCCAGACACCCUCAAGACCAUCCACACCACAGGCCUCCAGCACACCUGUGGGGAACAGAAUACAGGCAUCUGCCAAUGUGACUGGACUCAGUCGCUGUGGUGGAGGUGAUGGUGAUGGUGAUCUGCACGAAUUGUUGGGGUUCAAGCUUCAUAUGCGCACUCACAGGCUUAAAGUGGCAGUAGUAAUCAUAGUUUUUACAUUUUUAUAUAUUCAGGACAUUUUUGAUUUAUGCUCACUGACAUUUUUGAUGUUUAAUUGAUAUCUAUGUAAAAAAAAAAAAAAA